GAAACAGGCGGAAAGUGUGGGGGGAGGGCCUGCGCAGGGAGAGCGAAAGGGGCUGGUGUUCAAGUCCGUGAAGCGGUCCGAGUCCGGGGAAGGCGAACGGGUACCCGAGGAAAAGAAGCUCGGCAAUGGGACCAUCCGAGUCCCGAGUCCCCCGGACACCAGCAGGGGCUGCGCGGAGUCCGGCGGGACCAGCCUUUGUUGCUUUCCACCUCCCCCGGAUUAUGCACCGAAGAGGUAAAAACUCAAAGGGGUUUUUAUUCCCUAAAAGCCUGAUAACCAUCCUCUUGGAAAUCCAUCCAGACUGGAAAGGCAGAAGAGUGUGGAGGUUUAAACUUGGCUGCAAGGAGUGGUCAUGCUUGAGCAGUCACCUACCAAGCACCUUGCAAAUUGAGGAAUGUAUUACAGUACGUAUCAGUUCAGCCAGCACUUAUUCAGGAUCCACAAUGUGCUAAGGUACUACAUGCAUGGGAGAGGGGGAAGCGUAUUUUAUUCUAUGGAAGAAAACAUAUGCCUCUCCCCCAGUCCAAUGACACUACUCUUUAACUACAUUAUAAUAAUUUCCCAACUUAAAUGAACGGGAUAAUAAUAUAUCUACAUUAAGUAUAAUUUCCUUUUACAGAGGAAAUAAAAUAUUAGAUAGUAAAAAUGUAUUUUGACUUCAAAUUUUACCCUCUACCAAUGUUGCCCUUUAAUUAGAAG
rnacentral:lncRNA from 1 species